rnacentral:rRNA from 1 species
UACGGAGGGUGCAAGCGUUAAUCGGAAUUACUGGGCGUAAAGCGCACGCAGGCGGUUUGUUAAGUCAGAUGUGAAAUUCCCGAGCUUAACUUGGGAACUGCAUUUGAAACUGGCAAGCUAGAGUCUUGUAGAGGGGGGUAGAAUUCCAGGUGUAGCGGUGAAAUGCGUAGAGAUCUGGAGGAAUACCGGUGGCGAAGGCGGCCCCCUGGACAAAGACUGACGCUCAGGUGCGAAAGCGUGGGGAGCAAACAGG